AAAGUAUACAGAUAGCCAACAUAUCAUACUGGGUUAAAAGCCAGAGAUAAAAAUGUGUUUUUAAAUAGGAUUUAAAGGCAGCUAGCGAAGGAGCCUGCCUAACGUGCAACGGCAAAUCGUUCCAGAGUUUUGGGGCUGCAACUGAAAAUGCUCGAUCACCUCGGAGUUU